AACGAACGCUGGCGGCAUGCCUAGCACAUGCAAGUCGAACGAGACCUUCGGGUCUAGUGGCGCACGGGUGCGUAACGCGUGGGAACCUGCCCUUAGGUUCGGAAUAACUCCCCGAAAGGGGUGCUAAUACCGGAUAAUGUCUUCGGACCAAAGAUUUAUCGCCUUUGGAUGGGCCCGCGUUGGAUUAGCUAGUUGGUAGGGUAAAAGCCUACCAAGGCGACGAUCCAUAGCUGGUCUGAGAGGAUGAUCAGCCACACUGGGACUGAGACACGGCCCAGACUCCUACGGGAGGCAGCAGUGGGGAAUAUUGGACAAUGGGCGAAAGACUGAUCCAGCAAUGCCGCGUGAGUGAUGAAGGCCUUAGGGUUGUAAAGCUCUUUUACCCGGGAUGAUAAUGACAGUACCGGGAGAAUAAGCUCCGGCUAACUCCGUG
rnacentral:rRNA from 1 species